rnacentral:misc_RNA from 1 species
GUAGGUGAACCUGCGGAAGGAUCAUUAUUGAAUAUUCUUGAUGGGUUGUAGCUGGCUCUUUGGGGCAUGUGCACGCCUGUCUUGACUCUAUUCAUCCACCUGUGCACCUUUUGUAGUCUUGGGGGUUGAGAGCAGUCAACUAUCGGACGGCUAUGUGGCCUUUCCGGAUGUGAGGAUCGCUGAGUGCGAAAGCAUACAGCUCUUCUCAAAGUGACUUGUAAACCUCUCCUUCGAGCACUAUGUUUUCAUA